CGCUUAACUCGGGAUAGCCUUUCGAAAGAAAGAUUAAUACCCGAUAGCAUAAUGAUUCCGCAUGGUUUCAUUAUUAAAGGAUUCCGGUAAAGGAUGGGGAUGCGUUCCAUUAGGUUGUUGGUGAGGUAACGGCUCACCAAGCCUUCGAUGGAUAGGGGUUCUGAGAGGAAGGUCCCCCACAUUGGAACUGAGACACGGUCCAA
rnacentral:rRNA from 1 species